rnacentral:rRNA from 1 species
UACGUAGGGCGCAAGCGUUAUCCGGAAUUAUUGGGCGUAAAGAGCUCGUAGGCGGCUUGUUGCGUCGACCGUGAAAACCCGUGGCUCAACUGCGGGCUUGCGGUCGAUACGGGCGGGCUAGAGUUCGGUAGGGGAGACUGGAAUUCCUGGUGUAGCGGUGAAAUGCGCAGAUAUCAGGAGGAACACCGGUGGCGAAGGCGGGUCUCUGGGCCGAUACUGACGCUGAGGAGCGAAAGCGUGGGGAGCGAACAGG